GACGAACGCUGGCGGCGUGCUUAACACAUGCAAGUCGAACGGACUGAUGUCCAACACCGAGAACUUUUUAAGGUGAAGGACGACAGCGCAUACGGUUGCGAAGCAACCGUUACGCCCAAAUAGUUUAACACCGCAAAGAGUCAUCGGUGUUGGGCAUCAGUUAGUGGCGAACGGGUGAGUAACGCGUAGACAACCUACCUUCUAGCUGGGGACAACACCGCGAAAGUGGUGCUAAUACCGAAUGUUGUACUUUGGGUGCAUACUCGAAGUACUAAAGGUGGCCUCUGAAUAUGCUACCGCUAGAAGACGGGUCUGCGUCUGAUUAGCUAGUUGGCGGGGUAACGGCCCACCAAGGCGACGAUCAGUAGCCGGUCUGAGAGGAUGAACGGCCACACUGGGACUGAGACACGGCCCAGACUCCUACGGGAGGCAGCAGUGGGGAAUCUUCCGCAAUGGACGAAAGUCUGACGGAGCAACGCCGCGUGAGUGAAGAAGGCCUUCGGGUUGUAAAGCUCUGUUAUCGAGGAAGAACACUUUCUAUGUGAACAAUGUAGAGAGUUGACGGUACUCGAGGAGGAAGCCACGGCUAACUACGUGCCAGCAGCCGCGGUAAUACGUAGGUGGCGAGCGUUGUCCGGAAUUAUUGGGCGUAAAGAGCGCGUAGGCGGGAUAUUAAGUCUACUCUAAAAGUGCGGGGCUCAACCCCGUAAUGGGGUGGAAACUAAUAUUCUUGAGUGCCGGAGAGGAAAGCGGAAUUCCCAGUGUAGCGGUGAAAUGCGUAGAUAUUGGGAGGAACACCAGUGGCGAAGCG
rnacentral:rRNA from 1 species